rnacentral:snRNA from 1 species
UUACUCUGGUUUCUCUUCAUAACGCACAAGUCUUUCGCCUUUUACUAAAGAUUUCCGUGGAGAGUGACUCCAACGAGUUUAGCCUAUUUUUGGCAGGCUUUGCUCUCUGGCAGAGCCG